UCUCCGUUGGUGAACCAGCGGAGGGAUCAUUACUGGAAUCGCAAGAUCCCACAACCCUGUGAACCUACCGAAACGUUGCCUCGGCGGGUGCCCGGCCUCUGCGCCGGGCGCUGCGCCCGCCGGCGGCCCCCUACUCUGUCUCUGCAGCGUGGCAUCUCAGAGUCCCAGAAAACAAGUCAAAACUUUCAACAACGGAUCUCUUGGCUCUAGCAUCGAUGAGAACGCAGC
rnacentral:misc_RNA from 1 species